rnacentral:rRNA from 1 species
UACGGGGGGGAGCAAGCGUUGUUCGGAUUUACUGGGCGUAAAGGGCGCGUAGGCGGCCUCUGCAAGUCGACUGUGAAAUCUCCGGGCUUAACCCGGAAAGGUCAGCCGAUACUGCGGGGCUAGAGUGCAGAAGGGGCAACUGGAAUUCUUGGUGUAGCGGUGGAAUGCGUAGAGAUCUGCAAGAAUACCCGUGGCGAAGGCGGCCAACUGGGCCGGUUCUGACGCUGAGGCGCGAAAGCGUGGGGAGCAAACAGG